rnacentral:rRNA from 1 species
AGCCACAUACCACUCUGCAUCCCACUGCUGGCUUUCCUCAGAAGCUAAGCAGGGUUGGUCCUUGUUGGUCCCUGGAUGUGAGACCAGAUGAUGUUGGAAGUGGUGU